rnacentral:rRNA from 1 species
CCUACGGGAGGCAGCAGUAGGGAAUCUUUCACAAUGGGCGAAAGCCUGAUGGAGCAACGCCGCGUGCAGGAUGAAGGCCUUCGGGUUGUAAACUGCUUUUAUAAGCGAGAAAUAUGAUGGUAACUUAUGAAUAAGGAUCGGCUAACUACGUGCCAGCAGCCGCGGUCAUACGUAGGAUCCGAGCAUUAUCCGGAGUGACUGGGUGUAAAGAGUUGCGUAGGUGGCAUAAUAAGUAGCUAGUGAAAUCUGGUGGCUCAACCAUUCAGACUAUUAGCUAAACUGUUAAGCUCGAGACCGUUAGGGGUAACUGGAAUUUCUAGUGUAGGAGUGAAAUCCGUAGAUAUUAGAAGGAACACCAAUAGCGUAGGCAGGUUGCUGGGAUGGUUCUGACACUAAGGCACGAAAGCGUAGGGAGCAAACGGGAUUAGAUACCCGUGUAGUC